rnacentral:tRNA from 1 species
GUGGUGGCUCAGUGGUAGAGUGCUUGCCUAGCAUGUGUGAGGCCCUGGAUUCGAUUCUCAGCAUCACA